AUAUGAAUCACCUGGGGAGCUUGCUGAAAUGCAGAUUCUGAUGGAGUAGGUCUGAGUGGGGCCUGAGAGUCUUCAUUACCAGCAAGCUCCCAGGGGAUGCCUGA
rnacentral:pre_miRNA from 2 species